GACGAAUCUCGCUCUGUCACCCAGCCUGGAGUGCAGUGGCACGAUUUCGGCUCACUGCAAGCUCCGCCUCCCAGGUUCAAGCCAUUCUCCUGCCUCAGCCUCCUGAGUAGCUGGGACUACAGGUGCCUGCCACCACGCCUGGCUAACUUUUUUGUAUUUUUAGUAGAGAUGGGGUUUACCAUGUUAGCCAGGAUGGUCUUGAUCUCCUGACCUCGUGAUCCGCCCGCCUCGGCCUCCCAAAGUGCUGGGAUUACAGGCGUGAGCCACCACGCCCAGCCGAAACUGUAGUUGUCUUAAUGGGACUUGCAUGAUGGUAAGAUGUAGGGACCAGCCCCACAGGGUCAGUGGGUUUUUCUCCCCAUGUGUGGAGACGAGAGAUUGUAGAAAUAAAG
rnacentral:lncRNA from 1 species